UUCUGGAUACUUUAUAUCUAGAAACUAGAAUCUUCUUCUGCCUUAUGUUUUCUAAUCUAGAUUUGAAAAGCCACCUUUUCUAAAGGGUCUUCAUCCAGCCUCUAAUUUUGUCCUUGUAAUCAAUGGAAUGUGUUGCUGACGCAUGACAUAAUGGAUUUGAUUUUAUUGGCACAAAUGUUGGUGUAGGUCUCUGAUUUGCAGGUGAAAUUAAUUUCUCCUGUAAAAUUCCAGUCACAAAGUGAAUAUUUUUGAAAUUUGAGCAACACUAUUUUACUGCCACUAAGAGUGAUGCUCUAACUAUCUCAGGACUCUAGUGAACUAUUUUUAGCUCUGACCCCAUCACACGCGCUCCGUUACUAUGCACUUGAAAGCUAUUGCUCCAAUGGUUUGCAAAGCUUGAGGCUGAUCCCAUUCUGGAAAUUCAGGUGGGGGCAAAUUCCUUGGAAUCUCUUGUCCCAGAUCAUGAUGUCAUUUUAAAGAACAUUUUAAGGAAGGUACAACACAGUCGUCUUAUAACAUUGCUGCUUGCCAUUGCAUCUCAUUGUCCUGUUGUUGAGAGACCACCUCCAGAGUGCUGGAGAUGCCAUACUGACGUGUGUCUUGCCUUCUGAUAAACCAUGGAAUAUGUACAAUAUGGGGAGAAGCAGCAACGGCCACUUUACUUGUGAGCCUUUUACAUGGGCCAAGCUCAGUGCUGGAGAAAGCGGGUGCUUAAUGGAAUUACACCUCUUAUCAGACCCAAUUCCAAGCUGGUGUGUACCAACCCUGAGCUGGACGGAGUAGGACAGUAUGGGGGGCGGGGUCCAGUGACAGCAGGUAGGCAACUGCAGUGCCCUGAUUCUCACGCUAGCCAUAACACCACACUGCGGGAAUCCCUCAGCAAGGGAGAUGGGGGCAGUUUCUGCUGCUUUUGCACCACCUGAAUCUGGCCCACUAUUUCUAGGGGAGAGCAGUGAAGUUUGGUUUAUGUGCCGCCAAAUCCUUGGUCCCUUGAGACUUCCAUUAAGGACCAGCUGUAAUCUGGAUGCCUGCCCACAAGAAAAUGGACUGACCCCCUCAUCCAUUUCUGAAAUGCUGUCAAAUAGCCACAGCCAGCUUUUACACUACUAGUUGGAGUCAGCUUUGAACCAGAUCUACGGUAGCAGUGGAAGUCUCCGUAUCACGUUAUCUUUCCCAAGCCUUUUUCAUUCUCCAAGUAUUGCAGUUUUCAUGUUACCUUUAAAAUAAUAUGUGCUUUCUUUAAAAAAACAA